UAGGGAAUCUUCGGCAAUGGGGGCAACCCUGACCGAGCAACGCCGCGUGAGUGAAGAAGGUUUUCGGAUCGUAAAGCUCUGUUGUAAGAGAAGAACGUGUGUGAGAGUGGAAAGUUCACACAGUGACGGUAACUUACCAGAAAGGGCCGGCUAACUACGUGCCAGCAGCCGCGGUAAUACGUAGGUCCCGAGCGUUGUCCGGAUUUAUUGGGCGUAAAGCGAGCGCAGGCGGUUUAAUAAGUCUGAAGUUAAAGGCAGUGGCUUAACCAUUGUUCGCUUUGGAAACUGUUAAACUUGAGUGCAGAAGGGGAGAGUGGAAUUCCAUGUGUAGCGGUGAAAUGCGUAGAUAUAUGGAGGAACACCGGUGGCGAAAGCGGCUCUCUGGUCUGUAACUGACGCUGAGGCUCGAAAGCGUGGGGAGCAAACAGG
rnacentral:rRNA from 1 species